GGAUAACUACCCUUAGGACUGGGAUAACCCUGGGAAACUGGGGCUAAUACCGGAUAGGCAAUUAUUCCUGCAAUGGUUUUUUGUUUAAAUGUUUUUUCGCCUAAGGAUGGGUCUGCGGCCGAUUAGGUAGUUGGUUAGGUAAUGGCUUACCAAGCCGUUGAUCGGUACGGGUUGUGAGAGCAAGAGCCCGGAGAUGGAACCUGAGACAAGGUUCCAGGCCCUACGGGGUGCAGCAGGCGCGAAACCUCCGCAAUGUGAGAAAUCGCGACGGGGGGAUCCCAAGUGCCAUUCUUAACGGGAUGGCUUUUCAUUAGUGUAAAGAGCUUUUGGAAUAAGAGCUGGGCAAGACCGGUGCCAGCCGCCGCGGUAACACCGGCAGCUCUAGUGGUAACAAUUUUUAUUGGGCCUAAAGCGUCCGUAGCCGGUUUAAUAAGUCUCUGGUGAAAUCCUGUAGCUUAACUGUGGGAAUUGCUGGAGAUACUAUUAGACUUGAGACCGGGAGAGGUUAGAGGUACUCCCAGGGUAGAGGUGAAAUUCUGUAAUCCUGGGAGGACCGCCUGUUGCGAAGGCGUCUAACUGGAACGGUUCUGACGGUGAGGGACGAAAGUUAGGGGCGCGAACCGGAUUAGAUACCCGGGUAGUCCUAACUGUAAACGAUGCGGACUUGGUGUUGGGGUGGCUUUGAGCUGCUCCAGUGCCGAAGGGAAGCUGUUAAGUCCGCCGCCUGGGAAGUACGGUCGCAAGACUGAAACUUAA
rnacentral:rRNA from 1 species